GACGAACGCUGGCGGCGUGCCUAAUACAUGCAAGUUGAGCGCUGAAGGUUGGUACUUGUACCAACUGGAUGAGCAGCGAACGGGUGAGUAACGCGUGGGGAAUCUGCCUUUGAGCGGGGGACAACAUUUGGAAACGAAUGCUAAUACCGCAUAAAAACUUUAAACACAAGUUUUAAGUUUGAAAGAUGCAAUUGCAUCACUCAAAGAUGAUCCCGCGUUGUAUUAGCUAGUUGGUGAGGUAAAGGCUCACCAAAGCGAUGAUACAUAGCCGACCUGAGAGGGUGAUCGGCCACAUUGGGACUGAGACACGGCCCAAACUCCUACGGGAGGCAGCAGUAGGGAAUCUUCGGCAAUGGACGAAAGUCUGACCGAGCAACGCCGCGUGAGUGAAGAAGGUUUUCGGAUCGUAAAACUCUGUUGGUAGAGAAGAACGUUGGUGAGAGUGGAAAGCUCAUCAAGUGACGGUAACUACCCAGAAAGGGACGGCUAACUACGUG
rnacentral:rRNA from 1 species